GGUUCUAUAGUGUAACAGUUAGCACUCCAGACUUUGAAUCUGGCAAUCCGGGUUCAAACCCCGGUAGAACCU